rnacentral:lncRNA from 1 species
ACAAGCCCUCACUGCAAGCCAAGGGCAGGGCUCCGUAUGGAAUUCUCAACAGGCCCGUCUACUCCAGCAUGGCUGGCGAGUCCCCGACAAGCCUUUCUCCACAUCUCUGCAGUGUGAACACCCAGGCGCCUCCAUUCAGAGCCUGGCUCCGUAGCCAAACGAGUCUAGUGAUGUCAUCGUUGCCAUGGAAACUCUCUCCAGGCGUCAGGCAGGACCAACCUCCCCUGAGCAGUUUCCCUUUGUGUGGACUUUGCAAUGCGUUGCCAAGGCAGUGAGGCCUGCUGGGUGAGUUGGCACAGGGCAGGGAAGGCAGACAAAACCCCACACUGCAUCCCAGAAACCACCACUCACAGCACAGCAGGAGAGACGGGGCUGCAGCUGUAAUCUCUGCUGGGGUGGGGGGGUGGCAGCGGUGAGGGGUGUGGCAUUUAAGAGGGGAUGGAGACCUGUUCAAAACCCCUGAUGCCAAUUACCUUUGAGCGUGGUUAGCGGGAUUCUGACCCCUGUAUCUGCAGGGCCUGGAUCUUGUGAAAGGGCAGACAAGCUCGGCAGGGUGUGAAGAGGAAUUGGUGGUUUGGCUGUUUGAGUGUAAGUCACUCUGAGAAUCACUGCUGAAGAAAGAAGCCCCCAGGGAGUACACUAGCUGCCUUAGUCCCUCUUGGCUCUCAGAAUCCUCCCAGCAACUCCGGGGAAGGGGACAGAAGAAACAGGGUGCCUUCUGUACUUCCAAUUCUGUCACUGGUGGUGGCGUGGGAUUUGGGUUUCUUUCAAACACUAUAUAGCUCGUUGUCCUUGAACUUGAAAUCCCCCUGUCUCAGCCUCCAGAGCACUGAGAUUGCAGGUGUGUGCUGCUAUCUCUGGCUUGUUUACCUCUUUGUUUUUCUUAUUGCUUUCUCCUGGUUACCCGUUUGUGCCUAACACAGUUUAGAUUCAAAAUGGGGGCGGUCCAAGUUCCCUCGCUGAGGCCUUUUCAAUCCAGGUUGGCCCCCCCGCAGCCUGGGAUCUAUCGGUUUUAGAGAAAGAAUACUACUCUAUCUUUAUAGAGUAAUCCUGCUCUGUCUACCAGGCCCUCCAACACCCGGAUCUCAGCCAAGGGAUUGCCACAGAGUCUGCCCCUCCCUCCUGGCUGCCUACAGAGGCUCCAGAAGCUAUUGGCUAGUAAGGAAAGCCAGUGUCCUGGCUAAUGUCUACAAGGCCACCUCCAUCCCAGCUUCAAGUCACACCCUCUUUUGUCCUAGAAGCUGCAGGGGCCUCUUCGCUCCUAGGUCAUUUAAAAGGCCCCUGUUCCUUGCCAGUGCCUGUGGCUAGCAGGCCCUUGACAUGGUGCAUAAAAUCUUCCCCGUGCCCCUGUUCUUAGAAACCUCCAGGAAGAAACUUCAUGACCUUUGCUGGCAAAUGACAGAGUCUCAUGCUUAGAGCUGAAUGAAGGCCAUGGCGUUCCUGGGUUCACCCGGAGCCUUCCUGCUUUCUUGGUCACCUUCUUCCUUAACUUCCCAGGGGGCUGAAGGGGAGGGCUCCUGCUCUACAAUCCUGUGGGCUAGGCUACUUGUUCAGGCUGGGAGGAGACAGACUCUCGGUAUGUCCUUCUGCCCUGAGCCUGGGCUCCUCCUCCGUCACCCGUGUGUCUCUGUUGAAGGUCUACCAAGUCACAUGGUAUGAUGUCAGAAAGGGUUGUGGGGUGAAUGGCUAUGGGGUUCUCAGGCCGUACUGGGUGCGCCUGCCUACAGCCAGACAGCAUCUGGACCAACCGUGACCCACCUCUGCCUGCCAUUCUUUCCUGAAGCAAGUAUUUCCUGACAUCUGUGCUUUGUGCUAUGAAGGCUUUCCCCCUGCUUCCAAAGGUCCCAAACAAGCCAAAAAGGAUGAAGGAAAAAAAAAUGUAUGAAAACCAGGCAGCUCACCAGGACUUCUGCCCACACAGCAGCGAGGAAAACUGCCAUCAGCAACGGUGGUCAGCGCUAGCUCAGCCCGUGGCACUGUGACAAACACCUUUGUUCCAUUUUCCAAACUUCCUGUACUUUAAGACCGUGUUUUGGUAACAGAGACUCCCAAGGAAUGCGAGCACCGAGCUUGAGAGCACAUGGCUUCUAGACAGCAGGAAGGGAGGCUGGGGCGGAGGUCGGCUUCGACACCUGCCCUCCCCACAGGGGCAUGCCCAGGACCAGUGAAAAGUGCCCCCGUGAGGCUGCCAAAGCUCAUAGUCCUGGCGGGGGGCAGGGGCACCCCCUGGAGACACAGACCUCGGUGAGAAAGUCCAGGGUGACCAAAGGUCACAGAUGACAGUCUUACCCAGGCCUUUGAACUUCGUCUUUGGGGCAACAAGCAGCCUGGAGAACUGAGAGGAAGAAAUGAGGGUACACAUUGUCCACAAGGGUGGGGUAGCCCUGUGAGCUGGCUUAGCCAAACCUCAGUUUAGUCAUCCAUAAAUGGGGACAAGAUACUUUUUACACAGACACAGGCAGCUGGGAGGAUAUCUUUUAUUAUCUUAUGGUUUUGGUUUGGUUUGGUUUUUGCUUUUUCGAGACAGGGUUUCUCUGUGUAGCCCUGGCUGUCCUGGAACUCACUCUGUAGACCAGGCUGGCCUCGAACUCAGAAAUCUGCCUGCCUCUGCCUCCCAAGUGCUGGGGUUAAAGGCGUGUGCCACCACUGCCUGGCUUUUUUCUUUUCUUUUCUUUUCUUUUCUUUUCUUUUCUUUUCUUUUCUUUUCUUUUCUUUUCUUUUCUUUUCUUUUCUCUUCUCUUCUCUUCUCUUCUCUUCUCUUCUCUUCUCUUCUCUUCUCUUCUUUUCUUUUCUUUUCUUUUCUUUUCUUUUUUAAAGGGUCUCAUUAUAUAACCCGGAUUAAUCUAGAACUCACCCUGUAGCCCAGGCUGGCAAUAAACUUUCAAUCCUCCCGCCUCAGCCUCCUGAAUGAUGGGAUUAUAGGCAUAUACCACCACAUCUGGCUCUGUUGAGGGAACUCAAUGGCUUAAGUCCCCUUAAGUCCCUAUCGGAUCAUGCCCCAAACAGACAGGGGAUGCAAACAAUGCUUUGGAAAACCAGAUGACUGCCCAGCCAUGGCUCUUACCGACUGGGGGAAUCCUCUCCACACCAAUGGGAGGUGUAAAAUCUUCCUGGGUCUCCAAAAUCUGGGCAAGAAGGAACUCUCUGUUUCCAGGCUUCCUGAUCCAAGCUGCAGCUCAGAGCCCCGGCCCUGGAAGCCUGAGGCUUUCUUGUGAGGAUCCCUCAGGGGCCCAGGCUAUGGAAACUGCCACAACCUGUCCUGCCAUAGCCAAGCAGCCGCCUGCCGGAACAAGAUGGAUUGUGGCUUUGGGGGGGGGGCGGGGAAUCCGAUGCGUAAAAAGCCUGUGGAGGUCAAAUGAGCUCCAUGCGGGUUGCGAUUUCCCAUCUAAAUGUUAACAUUGGCCUUGCUGAAGUCACGCCUCUGCAUUUCUGUUGUGAACCUUUCUGUAGACUCUUUCUUCAAAGGGACAAACCAGAGUUUAAUGGUGGAAACCUGGGGCCCUUUGUGUGACCCUAGGUGGCAUCAAAGAAGGUGGCACCAGCUGGAUCUGCCCACAGACGCCUUCGAAGGUCCCAGGGGAUCUAUCUGAGAUUUUGGCCACUACCUGAAGUAUGGAGUUUUGCCAGCAAUAAGGAGAAAGCCUUGUAGGAGGCAAAGGGCACCCACUGGGACCUGGACGAUCAUGGUAAAUAUCUGCUUAUAGCCUUGCAUUUGGGGUUGAGGAGUGUAUGUGGGGUUAUCUUCAAAAUACUGCCUCCAAAGGAAGGCCUAAGGCGCUUAGGGUUUUCAUUCCCUUCCACGUUCCUUGCAUUUGAGUCUUUAACCAAACAGGAGCCAGAGCAGGAGAUAGGAUCAUGGUUUUUCCAUUUUGCAAGAUCUGGAACUGAGGCUUCACACGUAACUUAGUCUAGAUCCCACGGAGACCAGCUUCCGCCCCAAGAGCUGGGAUCACUGUAAAGCAGGUUUUUCCAAAGGGCUGCCUCUCGCGCUAGUCUCUCUGAGGAGGCGGUCAGCUAUUAUGGAUGGUGGAAUUUCUCUCCCUCUGGAAGUUCUCUUAUUUGCUUGUUUGCUUUCAAAGAGAACCUUGCUAUAUAGCUCAAAUGACAAAUGUGGUUUGAA